rnacentral:rRNA from 1 species
UACGUAGGGUGCAAGCGUUAAUCGGAAUUACUGGGCGUAAAGCGUGCGCAGGCGGUUCUAUAAGACAGAUGUGAAAUCCCCGGGCUCAACCUGGGAACUGCAUUUGUGACUGUAGAGCUGGAGUACGGCAGAGGGGGAUGGAAUUCCGCGUGUAGCAGUGAAAUGCGUAGAUAUCGAGAGGAACACCAGUGGCGAAGGCGAGUCCCUGGACAACUUCUGACGCUGAGGCACGAAAGCUAGGGGAGCAAACAGG